ACAUGCUCCCAAACCUAAACAUGGCUGUUAUGUCUAGCAGCCUUAAGUCACAAGCACCCUAUCUCAAUUGAUAGCGAAACAGUUUUCGUGGAUGUUGAUCUUCGAUCUCAUUGCUUGUGCAGAUGGUUUCGAUCCCUGGUGGGUUGGAACCAUGGGAGGACAGGGGUGACCUUUGUAAGUUGACGUUGUCAAUAUUACAAACCAUGCCCGACAAACCUGAAGAACUAAUAGAGCCGAUUAACCAAGAGGAGAGCGAUAAAGUUACGUGUGUUAUUGCUGAUGGUUCCAUGGGAUGGGCCAUACGAGUGGCGAAGAAGAUGGGAAUUACAAGUGCAGCUUUCUGGCCUGCCUCAGUUGCUACACUGGCCUCCUUUUUGUCCUUUCGGAAACUGACUGAUGAUGGCAUCGUAAACAAGAUUGGUUAGAACGUAUAUAAUUUAAGAGUAAACUGCCAAAAUCGUCCCUGAGGUUUAAUUUACAUUUUUAACUAGAGGCAUACCUCUAAAUGAUAACAUGAUUCAGUUGUCUGAAACCAUGCCACCCAUAAAACCUUUGUAACCUCGGAUGGGCGUGCUUCGAGGACUCAGCUACCGUAGGAGCUUUUUUUUCAAGUUGUGGUGCAGGCUGAAGAAGCCUCUAGAUUGACGGAAUGGUUUAUAUGUAACUCGUGUCAUGAGCUGGAGGCUGCAGCAUUUAGCCUGUAUCUGCAGCUAUCACCGAUAGGUCUUCUUCUAGCAAGCAACCUAAUACAACAAUGACUAUAGAAUGUUAUGGUUUUCAAGCUUGACCCUUCUCAUUAACAAUAACUCAACAUAUAUAGUUACAAAGAGAUCUAUUUUUGGAGAUAAAUAAUACAAUAAUGACUAUACAAUCCCUAUCAGAAUUAGUGUAAUCUAUUACAACCGACUAGCUGACCAGGCAGGCAACUUCUAGCAAGAAGACACCACCUGCUUAGCAUGGCUCGAUCAACAACCAGCAUGUUCAACCAAACUCAGUUUGAAGAACUGGCACUUGUGGGUGGUGCGACCAGGUAUGUAGGGGUGUUUAUCGGUUCAGUUUACGAUUUAUGUGGUUUAUACGGUUUUCAAAAUUUUGUACUCUAAACCAAAAACUCAACCAAACUGAAUUAGAAAAAUGCAAACCGAAUUAUACUUAAAUACCUUUUUUCCUAAUUCAUGUUCCUGUUUGUGUUUCGAAUAGCAAGUCAGCAACUAACUUAAACCAAAUAAUCAAACCACACAACAUAUUAAUAAAAGAAAGUUUCAAAGCAAAAUAAAACAAACAAAUUCAUAAAAUAGUCUUACACACAAACACAAAGUUAAAACUUCAAAAGACAGAUCAUAGAAAUUAAACUUGGUUACAUUUCUGUGGCAUUUUCCCAUAUUAUUAUUAUUAUUUAAUAUAUAAUUAACUUAACGGUUUAUUUUCUCCGAAUAAACCAAGUAAAAAAAUUGUGGAACCAAACACCGGACCAAAAGCCAAAUUCACUAUUCGUCUUUUCGGUUAUGGUUCAGUUUACGGUUUUUAUUUGGUUCACUGAUUAUCCGGAUGGAUAUAUGGAGAGUAGGCUCUAGUGGCAAAAUCGUGAGUUGGGCGCCACAACAAAAGGUACUAUCCCACCCUUCGGUAGCGUGUUUCAUGAGUCACUGUGGGUGGAACUCUACUUUAGAAGGUGUCACAAACGGAGUCCCUUUUUUGUGUUUGCCAUAUUUUUCUGAUCAGUUUCACAACGCGACUUACAUUUGUGACAUCUGGAAGAAU